GCUAGUAGAAGAGGGUGAUGAGGGGACUGAUCUCCUUGUUAGUUCUAUUAGUUCUGAGGAGGUUGUACUUUCACAAACCACACUUCAGGAGCUGUGUGAGCCAAUGGGUUUGAACCCAGGCGAGAAAUCAGAUCUCCCUUCUAGCUUGGAUGAAGGAGCUGUUCCGACUGAGAAAUCAGAUUUUCCUACUACCAUGGAUGAAGGAGCUGUCCCAAUUGAGAAACCAGAUCUCCCUACUAGCAUGGAUG
rnacentral:misc_RNA from 1 species